rnacentral:lncRNA from 1 species
GGAGGCACCAGCUGCCGCGCGGGGAGGAGGCCGAGGCCGCAGCUUGAGGGAGGCCCCGGCCCCUCUGCGCCUGUGUCUGGCAGAGCUGGUGUGAGACGAGACAAUCCUGCCCCGCCGCCGGGAUAAUCAAGAGUUUUGGCCGGACCUUUGAGCAUACACCGAGAGAGUGAGGAGCCAGACGACAAGCACACACUAUGGCGCUGAAACGGAUUAAUAAGGAACUUAGUGAUUUGGCCCGUGACCCUCCAGCACAAUGUUCUGCAGGUCCAGUUGGGGAUGAUAUGUUUCAUUGGCAAGCCACAAUUAUGGGACCUAAUGACAGCCCAUAUCAAGGCGGUGUAUUCUUUUUGACAAUUCAUUUUCCUACAGACUACCCCUUCAAACCACCUAAGGUUGCAUUUACAACAAGAAUUUAUCAUCCAAAUAUUAACAGUAAUGGCAGCAUUUGUCUCGAUAUUCUAAGAUCACAGUGGUCGCCUGCUUUAACAAUUUCUAAAGUUCUUUUAUCCAUUUGUUCACUGCUAUGUGAUCCAAACCCAGAUGACCCCCUAGUGCCAGAGAUUGCACGGAUCUAUAAAACAGACAGAGAUAAGUACAAUAGGUUAGCAAGAGAGUGGACAGAGAAAUACGCUAUGUUGUAGGGUACAACAGAAUAUCUCGGGAAUGGACUCAGAAGUAUGCCAUGUGAUGCUACCUUAAAGUCAGAAUAACCUGCAUUAUAGCUGGAAUAAACUUUAAAUUACUGUUCCUUUUUUGAUUUUCUUAUCCGGCUGCUCCCCUAUCAGACCUCAUCUUUUUUAAUUUUAUUUUUUGUUUACCUCCCUCCAUUCAUUCACAUGCUCAUCUGAGAAGACUUAAGUUCUUCCAGCUUUGGACAAUAACUGCUUUUAGAAACUGUAAAGUAGUUACAAGAGAACAGUUGCCCAAGACUCAGAAUUUUUAAAAAAAAAAAUGGAGCAUGUGUAUUAUGUGGCCAAUGUCUUCACUCUAACUUGGUUAUGAGACUAAAACCAUUCCUCACUGCUCUAACAUGCUGAAGAAAUCAUCUGAGGGGGAGGGAGAUGGAUGCUCAGUUGUCACAUCAAAGGAUACAGCAUUAUUCUAGCAGCAUCCAUUCUUGUUUAAGCCUUCCACUGUUAGAGAUUUGAGGUUACAUGAUAUGCUUUAUGCUCAUAACUGAUGUGGCUGGAGAAUUGGUAUUGAAUUUAUAGCAUCAGCAGAACAGAAAAUGUGAUGUAUUUUAUGCAUGUCAAUAAAGGAAUGACCUGUUCUUGUUCUACAGAGAAUGGAAAUUGGAAGUCAAACACCCUUUGUAUUCCAAAAUAGGGUCUCAAACAUUUUGUAAUUUUCAUUUAAAUUGUUAGGAGGCUUGGAGCUAUUAGUUAAUCUAUCUUCCAAUACACUGUUUAAUAUAGCACUGAAUAAAUGAUGCAAGUUGUCAAUGGAUGAGUGAUCAACUAAUAGCUCUGCUAGUAAUUGAUUUAUUUUUCUUCAAUAAAGUUGCAUAAACCAAUG